rnacentral:rRNA from 1 species
GACGAACGCUGGCGGCGUGCCUAAUACAUGCAAGUCGAGCGAAUCAAUAGGAGCGCAGCUCUUUUGGUUAGCGGCGGACGGGUGAGUAACACGUGGGCAACCUGCGUGUAAGACUGGGAUAACUUCGGGAAACCGGAGCUAAUACCGGAUAAUCCUUUUCCACUCAUGUGGAAAAGCUGAAAGUCGGUUUCGGCUGACACUUACAGAUGGGCCCGCGGCGCAUUAGCUAGUUGGUGAGGUAACGGCUCACCAAGGCGACGAUGCGUAGCCGACCUGAGAGGGUGAUCGGCCACACUGGGACUGAGACACGGCCCAGACUCCUACGGGAGGCAGCAGUAGGGAAUCUUCCGCAAUGGACGAAAGUCUGACGGAGCAACGCCGCGUGAGCGAUGAAGGCCUUCGGGUCGUAAAGCUCUGUUGUUAGGGAAGAACAUGUAUCGGAGUAACUGCCGGUACCUUGACGGUACCUAACCAGAAAGCCACGGCUAACUACGUGCCAGCCGCCGCGGUAACAC